rnacentral:lncRNA from 1 species
CUUCUCCUCGAUGUCCACGAGCUUGGUGAUGAAGUCCUUCAGCUGCGCCACGCCCUGGCGCACGGUGGGCUGCAGCGGCUCCAUCCAAGCCUCCUUGGCCCUGGAAGCCGGCGUGUCCAUGUUGCCCACGUUCUGGACUGCCUGGAGGUGACAGCAGGAAGGACCAGGUUCUGCUAGGUUUAACUGACGCUGCUGCACUGGAUACCCCACCCCGGUGCCGGGCACAUAGGUGCAGCCUGAGAGUAAGCAGACCUGGGUUGGAAGGUCCCGCGAUUCACCACCGACAGGAUGGGCGGCCUUGGCAACCCCCGACCCCUCGCAGGCCUGUUCCCUUAUCCAUGAGAUGGAACUCGGACAAGGUGGCCACAGGAAGGCUUUGCAAACUGUGAAGUGCAGUGCCUACGUGGGCGUGCCAGUGGCCUCGCCGGAGCCGGUAGGGAACACUCUGCAGUCCAGGCCAGGGCCCCGGUAGGACACCCAGCUGUGCAUCCCGCCCGUGGCCGCAAGGCCCGCACCUUGGCCAACAGGAGCAGGGUGCGGCUGGUGCGGGCGUCCGCGUGGCGCUCCCGCAGGUGGAAGAGCUUGGGCGACAUGAUGGCGGGAGAGAAGAAGCGCAGGCACAGGAAGCUGGUGACGGCGAUGAACGGUACAUUCUGGAGGGGUGCGGAAGAGCGCGGGCUGGAGUCCCCCAGACCAGGGCUCCUGGCAGCCCCCUCCCCUUAGGCUCCGUCCCUGACCCUCGCCGGGACACAGCCUCCCUGGUCCUCCCCAGCGCUCCCUGGUUCCCCACCGCUCUUCGCCCGCCCCUCGCCCCAGCCCAGUCCAACCCGGCCCAGCCUAGCCCAGCGGGUGGAGGGCGCACCUCGUGCUGGGCGCCGGGGAAGCGCUCGCGCACGCGCCGGAAGAGCUGGCGGAAGGUGGCGCGCACCACGGCGGGGCACGCGGGAACCGAGCGGCUGAGCGCGCUCAGCAGGGCCCCCAGGUGGGCGCGCAGCGUCUGCGCGCUCUGCUCCAGCACCUCGGCCUCGGUCUGCGGGCGGUGCAGCCCGGAACACCUGCGUGGAACGGGGCGGGUUGGCAGAGGAGGUCACGGUCAGCGCCAGGGCCACGACAGGAACAGUGGCUCUCACAGCAGCCGGGACACGGACACAGGGGACAAUACACGGGUGGGCAGAAGCACAAACACACAUGCUGACAGGGCCUGAUCCCAACCCGCUGCCGCUGCGCCCCGCACCCCCCCGGAGUUACCCCCGGCCUCACCCUACAUCCUUAACUUCCACUUUGCUGGGGUCCAGCUCCACGUACUUCUCCUCAAACACCUUGUUGAUGAUGGGGCCCAGGACGCCGUGCAGGUACUGCAUCCCGGCCACCUGGGGACCACCGCAGGUCACAUUGAUCCUGUCUCCCCCAGUCCCACUCCAGCUGCCCACCUUCUCCCGGCAGCCGCCCUUGCACCGUUUGCCUGCCGUAUCCGCCCAGGAGGGGGACAGGUACACAAGCAGGGCAAACUGUUUAUUCAUGAAUGAAUGAAUGAGUGAGUGAAUGAAUGACUAGAAUUCUUAGCCCUUGUAAUCCUAGCACUUUGGGAGGCCGAGGCAGGAGGAUCACUUGAGGCCAGGAGUUUGAGACCAGCCUGGGCAACAUAGUGAGACUGUCUCUAACUUAAAUUUUAAUCACACACACAUUCUUUUGGGGGGGGGGGGUGCGGGGCACGGAGUCUAGCACGGGGCCCAGGCUAGAGUGCAGUGGCGUGAGCUCACUACAAUCUCUGGCUUCUGGUUCAAGUGAGUCUCCUGCCUCAGCCUCCCCAGUAGCUGGGAUCACAGGUGCCCACCACCAUGCCAGGCUAAUUUUUGUAUUUUUAGUAGAGAUGGGGUUUCGCCAUGUUGGCCAGGCUGGUCUCGAACUCCUGACCUUAAGUGAUCCGCCCGCCUCAGCCUCCCAAAGUGCUGGAAUUACAGGCAUGAGCCACUAUGCCCAGCCACAUUCUUAACCUUAAAGGGCUCUCAAUAUGGAGAUAGAACACUGGAGUCGAAGUCCCAGCCCCCUCUGUCGCUCUCUCUGAAGCUCAGUGUUGUCAUUUGCAAGAUGAGGACAAUAUAGCAUGCAACCUCACCUUCAGAAAAGACUCCAUGGACUUUGAGGCCAGAGAGUUGCUCCGGAACAGGGUGUUGGUCUUUUGUUACUUGGUCAUAAGUAGGCGUUUUCCUUUUGAUUUGGUUCUAGGAGGUUAGUGUGCAUUGGCGUUCUGUUGCCUGCUUCCAGCCCCUAUUCUCCUGCCUCAGGUUCAUUAGAAAAGACUGAGUUUGGGGCCGGGCAGGGUGGCUCACACCUGUAAUCCCAGUACUUUGGGAGGCCAAGGUGGGCAGAUCACGAGGUCAAGAGAUCGAGACCAUCCUGGCCAACAUGGUGAAACCCUAUCUCUACUAAAAAUACAAAAAUUAUCUGGGCAUGGUGGCACGUGCCUGUAGUCCCAGCUACUCAGGAGGCUGAGGCAGGAGAAUUACUUGAACUUGGGAGGCAGAGGUUUCAGUGAGCCGAGUUCGUGGUCACUGCACUCCAGCCUGGCUACAGAGUGAGAUUCCAUCUC